rnacentral:rRNA from 1 species
GUGGGGAAUAUUGGACAAUGGGCGAAAGCCUGAUCCAGCCAUGCCGCGUGUGUGAAGAAGGUCUUCGGAUUGUAAAGCACUUUAAGUUGGGAGGAAGGGCAGUAAGUUAAUACCUUGCUGUUUUGACGUUACCGACAGAAUAAGCACCGGCUAACUUCGUGCCAGCAGCCGCGGUAAUACGAAGGGUGCAAGCGUUAAUCGGAAUUACUGGGCGUAAAGCGCGCGUAGGUGGUUCAGCAAGUUGAAGGUGAAAUCCCCGGGCUCAACCUGGGAACUGCCUCCAAAACUACUGAGCUAGAGUACGGUAGAGGGUAGUGGAAUUUCCUGUGUAGCGGUGAAAUGCGUAGAUAUAGGAAGGAACACCAGUGGCGAAGGCGACUACCUGGACUGAUACUGACACUGAGGUGCGAAAGCGUGGGGAGCAAACAGGAUUAGAAACCCUUGUAGUCC